ensembl:lncRNA
CUGUUAGAGCUUUUCUGCCUGGCUUGAAACUCAUAAGAAAAAAAUGACACUUUAGUGGUGAUGGUGUUUAUCAAGGAGAUAAAGUACCUGGUGGCAAGAGCAACUCACUAAAAUAGCUUGAAUUAUUUGUUUAUGGUGGAAAUGUAGUCUGAGGUAUUCUUGUUCCUCCUUUCCACAUGUCUACGGUGUAAAGAGAGGGUGGAGAUGCCCUGCCAGGAGGUAGGAAUGAAAAUUCAUCAUUGCUGUUGCCCUCUUGAGUGAUUUCUUACACAAGUGGAUAUAUGACCCUGUGGUGAAAGUCCUUAUUUCCCCCUCCUUUCCCCCCACGUCUGUGCAUGUUUGACUCCAGUUUGUGUACAGCUUCUGAACAGUAUUUAUGAACGUAAGAGAAAUUGCAGCUCCUAUGGCAAACUUUGCCAUUUGUUAGAGAAAUAAAAAGCAUUUCAGUUUUUUUGCUAUUCUCAUUUGGACUCCCUGAGGUUUGGUGCCAAACUCUUCCUUUUACACAAACCAGGCCUGAUUUGGCUGACAUGUUGCUCUAAAAGAUUCCCAAAGUUGGUUGCCAGGAUUCCCUUAAGCAACCUGGUGGAAUCAGAUGAGUGAUACGUUAAUCCAUAGAUUCUAAAGCAGGGAGAUGUUUGAAAAUACUCUGUCACAGUAUCCCACACAACACAGUCCAGAGCUCUUCACCCACUCAGUCCCACAGCAGGAGGAAUUACUUUUUUCCUGUUAACACUGCAAAGUGCAACAGUCUGUGUCUGAGAUACCACACAUCCUCCUGUAGCACACUGGAUCUUCAUGUUAAUUAACCAUUGCCACUUUCUAGACUGCUGCAAUGAUUUAAAUCCUCACUGCUCGGUGUGGUCACCAUUUGGCUUCUAAAGCUGCUGUCAGUCUCCUCAAACCAGUGUUUUUUAGGAGAUGUAAACAGCCCUUUUGGUCGGUGACCACAAGACUGCAGUGGGAUCACAUCCACAGUAAAUUGGUGCCAUUAGAGAUUUUUGUCAAAUACUCCCUGAAUAAAACUACCGCUCUUUUUCAGCUCUCUUGAGAAAUGAAUAUAUCAUGAUCUGAAGUGUACUGCUAAAAGGUUUUUUUUGCAGGUUUAUAAAGAAAAAUAAUCCAGUUCCACUGACAUCUCCUUCCCCUGAAUCCUUUCUUCUCUAAAAACACUCUUGGAAACAUUACAGAGUUUUAUUGCCACCAGGCUAAUCAGGCCUUGUUUCUCACAUCUCUUCCUAUCAGGAACAAGGAUAGCUAAAGGGGGUAGGAGAGUGCCGUAAGUCAGAAUAAAAAUAGAUAAUGAGAACUGUUAGUGUUCUUCCUGUGAGGGAUUUCAGCAUUCAGGCUAUGACGUGAGGGGUCCAGUGUGGCAGAGCCUGGGCUGGCAGUGCUGAUGCCAGUUUCAGCCUUAGCUUGGACCGCUCAGCUUCUCAUAAUUUGUUUUUGAGGUCUCCAGACUUUGACAAUUUGUUUAACUGCUGAAAGUAGGAUUGGGACAGAUCUUUAGCUGGUGUAUGCAGCUUAGCUUUGUAAGCCUCGUUGGAGCCAUGCCAGUCCACACAAGCUGAGGGUAGAGCUUGCUCUGUUUUGAAUAUUCUUUCUCAUGCUUUGUAUGCUCUCCUGCAGUGUAACGAGUGCUGAUCUGGAGCAUUAAUUGCAUGCAUUUGACAGAAACAGAAUUGGAGUUAAACUUAUCGUUGUUUUGAUACAGUCUCAAAGGGGAAACUUUAUACUAGUAUUUUAAUGCAAGCAUUUGUAAACACCUGGCAAAUAGAAAUUGCAAGUCCAAUCCUUCUGCUAACGGAGUCAUUGACAAUGUUUCCUUUGGCUUUAGUAGGGAGCUGGACUGGGCUCAGUGUAAGUGGUAUACUCAAGUAUUACUGAUAACGAUUAAAUGUGUUUUAUAUAUUGAUGCUUUUUGCUGGACAGUGCAUUGGCUUUUUAUGAUUUGUUGAUAUAUACAAAUAAACUAUUUGAAAAGUUAGUAUUUCUGUGCCUUUUUUUUUUUGAGGGUGAAUUGAAAUUAUUACUAUGUUGGUUAAAAAAUGGUUACCAGAGUUACUGGUGUAAUCCUGGUUUAUGCAGUCAUUCCUUGGAAUCUCCUUGCUGCAGCUCCUAUGGUCAACAAUGUGACCAACCUCCUAAGCUGAGCCCUUUCACCAUCUUCCAGCAGUGAACUCUAAUGCUAAAGGCGGCAAAGAGAAGAAGAUCCUGUGUCAGGAUGUGGCUGAAGGUCAGCUUGUUACCAAGUGUAAAGGGCUAUUACAGGUUGCAUGGGCGGGUUAAUCUUCUAAUUGUCAACUGACUAAUUUUCUUCCUGUAGCAGCAGCCUUUCUCUCCAGGAGUGAGACUAAAUCCCAACAGCCACUGUGGAGAAAGAAAUAGUGAGAAAGGAGUCCACUCUAUAAUCUUGGAGGCUCCUGAGCUAUUUCUUUAGGGUAGCUGCAAUGCUUUUCUUUUUUUUGUGUAGUCACAUGCUGCCAACCUUCAGCUUGCUUUGAAGUGGUAAAAGGCAGAAACAACUAAAAUGUCUGCCACAGACUGCUUGUGCUCCUUAACUUGUUUCCAGACUCACAGUGCUGGAGAGGUGAAGCAGUAGAGCAGGACUAGAAGCAGACUUUGGAGCUGCAAACAUGAAUGCAAAGUGUGUUAAGAGGUUAACACACAAAAAAUCUAGUGUCAUCUCACUGUGUGCUUUUCUACCUCCUGUAAUCAUAUGGGAAUGGCUAUGCCAGCUAAUGCAAUCAGGUGGUGCUGAUGGGGUGAGCCUGCCUGAAGAGGGUGCUGGCAGCUGCCCUCUGUUUCUGCUGCAGGAAUGCACUGCACAUUGUCAGAACAACACUGCCAUGAUCUGCUGAUUCCUGCUAUGCAUGAAUUUAACACCCAUUGCAUAAAGGAUAGUAAGGAGCACUUCUGCCCUUAGGCCUCUUUUCGUGCACAGAACUCUCUGCUCUCUUCUGUCCCUUGGAUUCUUACCAAUCCAGACAGUGCUCAUAGCAAGCCUACUUAUUUGCAGCCUUCUUCAAAACUUGCUGCAAGAGUCUGUCGCUCCUCUCUGCAACUUGAUGCAAAAAAAUGACAUUUCCACGAUAGACUAAAUAAUUGCUCAGAGAUAGCUGAGUUUUAGUUAGUCUUCAUGUUGGCACCGCAGUGAAUUCAUGUGAACGUUUGACCAUUUAUUACAUUAUCAUUAUUACAUCCCUCUCCGUUUGUUUUCCUCCUUAUAAAGCAAUUCUCAGGAGUCAUACUGGAGGAAAAUAUUACCCAGCACAGCCUGCAAGGGAAACAGUAACCAACACAACCCAUUCUGUAUAAAUUCAGAGGUCAGGACUUUAACUCCUAUUUCCACCCUGGCUAUUGACCUGCUUCAUUCACUUGCACAGAGGCACUGGCUUUCUCAGCUGCAGAUUCUUCAGCUGUAAAAGGUCACUGCUCUCCCAGGGACAGAUUUUAGCUUUUAUUUGUUUCAGGCUGUCUGCUGGUACUCUACAAUGCAUUCUUUUGGCUCUCUGCAUUUUGCCAAAUACCUGACUGAUUGCAGCAAAGAAUCCCGGCCCAGGAAGCCUCCCAAAAACAUGGGGAAGCUGCAGACAACUCAAGUGCUGCUAUUGCCUGUGCCCAAAGCUGUCCUAGCCGGAGCCAGGAAUAGCUGCUCCUCUGCUUUAUUUCCCUUGACAACCUGGAUGUGAUAGCCAUUCUCAGUGUGGGCCUCUCACACAGAUAAACCUGGGCACAGCAAGGUCAGCGUGGCUAUUUUCCACCUUGACCAGGGCUAGAAGAAGGAGGCCCCAUGCAUAUUAACAUGCAUAUGGAUUUCAUAUCAUCCCUCACAGUCCUAAAAGGAGUUCCUGGUUAAUUUUAACCCCUUGGCUUCUUUUCAAGUUACUGAAACUGCAUUGAAGCACGCAGGAAGGAUUUGUGGUACUGCUCUCCCGCUAAGUGAUCCAGCUCCUGUCAGGCCUUGCCUUUCUAUGUUGCAGUAUACCACAACUUGCAGUGCAGGAACUGACUCUUCAGAAAAAAACCUUCCCACCAUAGAUUCACCAGAGCAUAAGUUUAAAACCUCUUCUUUAUUAUCUCAACAGUGGGCUGAGUGGAGAGAGAGAGAGAGAGAGAGAGAGCAGGGAAGCCUCAGGGGACUUACCCUGAGGGCUGGGGUGCAUGAGUGGUUUGCAUAAAGAGCCACUGAGCCAAACGCUCCUGCAGUGCCCUGUGUGUCCCAGACCAGCAGCUCCCCAGGUGCAAUUGCUGUUGCCUUCAGAGCAUGAGAAUAGCUGCUCAAGUCACUUCUUACUGUCUACAAAUAUAUAUAUUUGUACUCGUUAUUGGUCAACUUGCUGCCCACUCUGCUCUAGGUGGAGGCUAUGUAAUUGGUUUUCUUUUACCCUCUGUCUGGUUUAAAUUUUUGGGCAGCCUGGACAAGCUUGCUUUUUUUGAAAGUUGGUUAGGAAUCUUUUUUUUUUUUUCCUUCUGGUGCAUUACUGUGGCAGAGGAGUUAAAGCCAAGGUCUUGCAGGCAUCUCUUUCCUCUUCUCCACUGUUUCCUUUCUUUUCUUCAGCUUCUAUGGGCUCUGCUGUCACCCUUAUGCAUAUAUCAAGUAUUACUCGACAAGAAUGUAGGGCCUGGAAAAUGGAUCAUGCUGUUUCUGUCUGUGGUUGACUUGAUGAUCUUGAAGGUCUUUUCCAACCUGAGCAAUUAUGUGAUUCUAAGAACAAAGCAUAGCUGAAGCUCAUAAGAUUGCAUAUGCUUGGUUCCCUCCAGAGAGGUACGCUGUAUGGUGCUACAACAGAGAUAACAGGGCUUUGACCCAACACCUUUGUAAACAGUCUAUAAUACCCUUGAACAUGCAGGCAUAAAUGUGAAAGCUUCGACUGAAGACAAACACAACCAUAAAUCUUGGGUUUAUGGACUGAAUCAAACCAAGAGGAUUAAGUUCUGAUUUGAUAAUUAACCUGGGAUUCAAUGCUGCCCUGUAUUGUGUUAGGCAAAUGCACUGUUUAGUAUUUAAAUGAGUUCUCACGUUAUUUUUCACACCUGGGAGUCAAGUGAAACAUUAAGGAACAGCUUUUGCCCACAGAGGAAAAAAUGCAUGAAGGGAAACAAGAAAGCCAUUUGCUGAGAUUUUUACUAGCAAUCAUUUCAAGUAUAUAAAUAUAGCAGCUUGCCAAGCCUUUGGCCAGCAGAGCAGUGUUUGUGCAAUAGUUCAGCUUUAUGUUAAACUUUGCAGAAUAGCACGUAAGAGGCUUGAGGAGAAAAAUGGUUUGGUGUUUAUUCUUUGACCUGAGACUCAGGAGACUUCUAUUCAAUGUGCUUCUGUGUGCACAGAUCAAUGAAUUUCUCUCUCUGCCUCUGCUCCUUAUAGCAACAGUUUAUAGUCUCUUCAGGGGACUAAACUCAUACCCUUGUUUGCUGCUAAGGGUGAUGGAACAUCAGUUUGGUGGGACCUCUUAGUGCUACUACUAUCAUUCAGAAAUAUUAAAAAAUAUAUAUAUUUUAAAAAAGAGAGAACAAGUAGAUGUUAGAAAGUGCACAAAAUGGGUGGCUUUUUUUGCUCUUCAAGGUGGAUACUCAUGUGUUCCUUACGUGUGGACUGAGGGGGCUGGGAGGUUCUCUCUGACACGUGGUGAUUAUCAGUGCUGCCUUCCUGCAAAUGGAGGACAUCGCUACUACCUUGUAAACCAGGUCCAGCAUCUAUGAGCAAUGUGUCUUAUCUGAAGAAAGAAGAUAACAAGUCGGGAUUGAAACUCUUCCAGGACUUUGGUAUCUUGCUUCAUGCUGGUGUAGAAGAGACUUGCAGCCAGGAUCAGUACCACACAAAAUGAUAGCCCCAGGAGCAUAGGCAAUCCAGGUGAAGACCUGUCAUGUACUAGAAACAGGUAAGGAGGAAACAGAAAGCAGCAUUAUUUCAGUGUUAUCUUAUACACUUCCCAAAUUUUAUGUCCUACUGAUGCCACUGUCCCACUUUUCUGGGAACAGCAGGGUACAUGGAGCUCUGGCAGUGAGUCCUUCUGUAGGCAUUAGUUAAGUGAUAGUGGGUUACACUCCCGAUGCAGAUGGGUGAUCUAAUGGUGCAUUUAAAGAGUUUAAUUAUAUACAAUAAGAAAAGGAUUACCAUAGCUAAUGCAUAAUCUCAAAUUUCCUUCCAACAAUUAUUUUUU